CAGCAGCCGCCACGGUAAUACAGAGGUCCCGAGCGUUGUUCGGAUUCACUGGGCGUAAAGGGUGUGUAGGAGGUUUGGUAAGUCAGGUGUGAAAUCCCACGGCUCAACUGUGGAACUGCAUUCGAUACUGCCGAACUAGAGGCUUGGAGGGGGAAGCGGAAUUCUUGGUGUAGCGGUGAAAUGCGUAGAUAUCAAGAGGAACACCGGUGGCGAAGGCGGCUUCCUGGACAAGUCCUGACUCUGAAACACGAAAGCCAGGGGAGCGAAUGGGAUUAGAUACCCGCGUAGUCCCUGUCUCUUAUAC
rnacentral:rRNA from 1 species